AAGAUAAUAGCUCAGAGGGAGAGCGUCAGAUUAACACUCUGAAGGUCGAUGGUUCGAAUCCAUCUUAUCUUU
rnacentral:tRNA from 1 species